rnacentral:rRNA from 1 species
ACUAUGCCUAGUCGUAAACUUUAACUUACCUCUCCAUCGCCCGGGAACUACGAGCUAAGCUUAAAACCCAAAGGACUUGACGGUACCCCAUAUCCCCCUAGAGGAGCCUGUCCUAUAAUCGAUAACCCCCGCUUAACCUCACCAUUUUUUGCUAAUCAGCCUGUAUACCUCCGUCGUCAGCUUACCACGUGAGCGUUAGUGAGCCUAAUGUUUUUCCAACUAUACGUCAGGUCAAGGUGCAACAUAUAAAAUGGAAAGAGAUGGGCUACACUUUCUAUAAUAGAAUAAACGAAAGACUUAAUGAAACCUAGUCAGAAGGCGGAUUUAGAAGUAAAAUGAAACUAGAGUGUUCACUUAAAUACGGCACUGGGGUGUGUACACACCGCCCGUCACCCUCCUCAGCUCUGCAUAAAAGUUUUUAACACCUUUUUAGAGACUCAGAAGAGGCAAGUCGUAACACGGUAAG